rnacentral:rRNA from 1 species
GUGGGGAAUCUUGCACAAUGGGCGAAAGCCUGAUGCAGCCAUGCCGCGUGAAUGAUGAAGGCCUUAGGGUUGUAAAAUUCUUUCGUCAGGGAUGAUAAUGACCGUACCUGAAGAAGAAGCCCCGGCUAACUUCGUGCCAGCAGCCGCGGUAAUACGAAGGGGGCUAGCGUUGCUUGGAAUUACUGGGCGUAAAGGGCGCGUAGGCGGACUGCUUAGUCAGAGGUGAAAGCCCAGGGCUCAACCUUGGAAUUGCCUUUGAUACUGGCUGUCUUGAGUUUGGGAGAGGUGAGUGGAACUCCGAGUGUAGAGGGGAAAUACGUAGAUAUUCGGAAGAACACCAGUGGCGAAGGCGACUCACUGGCCCAAUACUGACGCUGAGGCGCGAAAGCGUGGGGAGCAAACAGGAUUAGAUACCCUGGUAGUCC